CUUCUAUCCAGGGCAAAGAUUUAACAAGAAAAGGCAGCGAUGAGUUAAAAUUUUCUUCCAAAAUAUCUCAUGAGGAGGAAGGGGAUUAUGAGACUGUAAGUAGUUCCACUCUGGAGGCUAUCCAUGCUUUGAGAAUUCUUCCUGCCAAACCUCUACAAGAGUCUGAAUAUGCAGACACACGUUGUUUAACGUCUUUAGGUACCACUUCCCAUAUGACUAACCAGCACACAUCUUCUCAGCCUCCUCAAUACCUGACUGUAAGUAAAGAUCUUAAACCCAGUUCACAAAYAUAUUUCCUCUUUUCUGUGCUAUUGCUUAAAGUUAAGCACAACCUAGUUAAAAUCUUAGGCAAAUAACAUUUAUUUUUUACAAGUUCACAACAGUUGCAUCAYGUUCCUGUUUCACUU
rnacentral:lncRNA from 1 species